rnacentral:rRNA from 1 species
UACGUAGGGGGCAAGCGUUGUCCGGAUUUAUUGGGCGUAAAGAGCUCGUAGGCGGCUUGUCACGUCGAUUGUGAAAGCCCGGGGCUUAACUCUGGGUCUGCAGUCGAUACGGGCUAGCUAGAGUGUGGUAGGGGAGAUCGGAAUUCCUGGUGUAGCGGUGAAAUGCGCAGAUAUCAGGAGGAACACCGGUGGCGAAGGCGGGUCUCUGGGCCGAUACUGACGCUGAGGAGCGAAAGCGUGGGGAGCAAACAGG